GGAGAGAUGGCUGAGUGGUUGAUAGCUCCGGUCUUG
rnacentral:tRNA from 2 species